UACGGAGGGUGCGAGCGUUAAUCGGAAUUACUGGGCGUAAAGCGCGCGUAGGCGGUCUGAUCAGCCGGUUGUGAAAGUCCCGGGCUCAACCUGGGAACGGCAUCCGGAACUGUCAGGCUAGAGUGCAGGAGAGGAAGGUAGAAUUCCCGGUGUAGCGGUGAAAUGCGUAGAGAUCGGGAGGAAUACCAGUGGCGAAGGCGGCCUUCUGGACUGACACUGACGCUGAGGUGCGAAAGCGUGGGUAGCAAACAGGAUUAGAUACCCUGGUA
rnacentral:rRNA from 1 species